rnacentral:rRNA from 1 species
GACGUAGGGCGCGAGCGUUGUCCGGAAUUAUUGGGCGUAAAGAGCUCGUAGGCGGUCUGUUACGUCGGCUGUGAAAACCUGGGGCUCAACUCCGGGCCUGCAGCCGAUACGGGCAGACUAGAGGUAUGCAGGGGAGAACGGAAUUCCUGGUGUAGCGGUGAAAUGCGCAGAUAUCAGGAAGAACACCAAUGGCGAAGGCAGCUCUCUGGGACGGUACUGACACUGAGGUGCGAAAGCGUGGGGAGCAAACAGG